UGCUUGCUGUAGAUGUGAGAAUGGGGAGAAACUGAAGAGCUUUGGUAAAAGAGUUUGUUUUAUUUCAUUUUUGCCAGAUAGCUGUUUUUGAAAGGAUUGUUUUCUCCAGAUGGGGCAGGGUCUGUGAAGGGGAUGCCUUAGCUUGGAAGAAUUAGAUUGUCUCUCACCCUAGAAUUGCACAGGGCAGCCUGGGGACAGGAUCUGUGA